ACCCGCUGAACUUAAGCAUAUCAGUAAGCAGAGGAAAAGAAACUAACAAGGAUUCCCGUAGUAACGGCGAGUGAACUGGGAAGAGUCCAGCGCUGAAUCGCGAUGCCUUUGGUAUUGUGAAGUGUAGCGUAUAGAAGGCACGCUCUGCUUAGUCCUCUGGUUUAAAUCUCCCUUGACUGGGGUUCCAGAGAAGGUGAAAGGCCUGUUCACCUGGGGGACUGAGUGGAUUGUGCUUUCUUGGAGUCGGGUUGUUUGGGAACGCAGCCCAAAGAAGGUGGUAAACUUCACCUAAGACUAAAUAUGACUAUGAAACCGAUAGCAAACAAGUACUGUGAAGGAAAGUUGCAAAGCACUUUGAAGAGAGAGUUAAAGAGGACGUGAAACCGAUAAGAUGGAAACGGAUAGAGCCGACGUAUCUAACCUGUAUUCAGCUGUCGGGCGGUGCUGGGCGGAUUGACUGGUCCUGUUUCUGGCUGGUUAGUCCGUUUCUGGUGCUGUUUCGCAGUGCAUUUACAGGUGGAGUGCGCUGAGAGAUACGCUUCAGCGGUUGGAAGCCGGCCAAGAGGUCUCUCCUUCGGGCAAAGAAACCCAGACUGGUGGAAGACUGUUUGUUGU
rnacentral:rRNA from 1 species